CUGCCCGCCGCCCCGGAAGGCGCUGGGCUCGAACCGGGGCCGCGGCGGCUCCGCCAGGCGCUCCCCGGUGGAUCAGGAGGCGCUGCCCCGGUGACCGGAGGUGGGAGAUGGGCCGGCGCUCCUCGGACACGGAGGAGGAGGGCAGGAGCAGGAGGAAGAAGAAGCACCGCCGGCGCUCCUCCUCCAGCAGCUCUUCCGACAGCCGCGCCUACAGCCGCAAAAAGUCGGGCAGGAAAUCCAGGUCCAGGUCGCGCUCUCGGGAUCUCCCGUCCUGGUCCCAUUCCUAUGAGAAAAGGUGCAUUUGUAGGAGUUUUUUUUGUAAGAGAAACUCUUUCGUGUUACUGCAGGAAGCUGGAAGGGUUUGGGUCCCACGGGUUGGGAUUUUAUGGCACAGGAUGUUCC